UACGUAGGGGGCAAGCGUUGUCCGGAUUUAUUGGGCGUAAAGAGCGUGUAGGCGGCCAGGUAGGUCCGUUGUGAAAACUAGAGGCUCAACCUCUAGACGUCGAUGGAAACCAUCUGGCUAGAGUCCGGAAGAGGAGAGUGGAAUUCCUGGUGUAGCGGUGAAAUGCGCAGAUAUCAGGAAGAACACCCGUGGCGAAGGCGGCUCUCUGGGACGGCACUGACGCUGAGACGCGAAAGCGUGGGGAGCGAACAGG
rnacentral:rRNA from 1 species